GGCGCCUGCGCGGUGGUGCCGCCGGGAGAGCCCCGAGGAGAUGGAGGCGGUGGCGCGGCGGCCGCAGGAGCGGGGGCAGGAGCGGAAUCGGCGGCAGGAGCAGGGGGAUGGCGGCCAGCUGCUGUCACGAUCGCUGUCACUGUCGGGACAGUCCUACUGGCUGGACCUGUGGCUCUUCGUCCUCUUCGACCUGGCGCUCUUCGUGGUCAUAUACUUGCUGCCCUGAGGGCGCGGGCCCAGAGGAACGCCACGGGAUGCACCUCGUGAACACGAGCAGUGGAGGAGGAGGACCAUUCGUGCGGGAUAAGCAGCUGGGAACACGGCUCCACUUGCAGCUGGAUGCAAGAGGCACAUAUUUAUAGUAAUACCAUAAUGUAUCUCUGCCUGCGUCACAAUAUUACGCUACAGGUUUUUACCUGCGUCCUGUUUCUGUGCUCCAAACUGUGCCUUAAAGGUUGUGUAAGAUGGACGGGCUGUGCUUGUGUAAUCGGUGCCUGAAGAUUUGUGCAGCAGAAAGGGAAGAAAGCACUGCUUGAAUAAAACCCACUGAAAGGACACUCUGCAGAGUGGCUGAGAAUAAAGCCCAGCUCUUGCCUAGACCCAAGUUUUAACUCAGACCUGUUCCCACAAGAGGUGAAGCUUAACCAGCUGUUUUACUUCCAAAAAGUUAAUUGUGAGGGUUUGAUGCUGUUUGGGUUUCUAUUACACCUUUCUCUCUUCUUUCUUAUCUACCUUCAGCAGUUUCUGAGCCUCCUCAGGGUCAGUAUUUAUAUGUAUGUGUAUUUAGAGUAAGCUUUGGAUCCGGUCAGGUUUUGGAGAAGACAGUCUCCUGUCUAUGGAUGAAGGGGGUUCAGUUUUCUGUAGUAUUUUUCCCUGGGGAAUACUAGUUUCUAAUUCUGAGAAGCACAGUUCAUAGUUGGUUUGGGUUUUUUUCACGAAUAAAUGUAAUAACUGCAUUGCAGAGAC